rnacentral:rRNA from 1 species
AGUAGUUUGAUCAUGGCUCAAGAACGACGCUGGCGGCAUGCCUAACACAUGCAAGUCGAACGAGACCUUCGGGUCUAGUGGCGCACGGGUGCGUAACGCGUGGGAAUCUGCCCUUGGGUUCGGAAUAACAGUUGGAAAUGACUGCUAAUACCGGAUAAUGUCUUCGGACCAAAGAUUUAUCGCCCAGGGAUGAGCCCGCGUAGGAUUAGCUAGUUGGUGAGGUAAAGGCUCACCAAGGCGACGAUCCUUAGCUGGUCUGAGAGGAUGAUCAGCCACACUGGGACUGAGACACGGCCCAGACUCCUACGGGAGGCAGCAGUGGGGAAUAUUGGACAAUGGGCGAAAGCCUGAUCCAGCAAUGCCGCGUGAGUGAUGAAGGCCUUAGGGUUGUAAAGCUCUUUUACCCGGGAUGAUAAUGACAGUACCGGGAGAAUAAGCCCCGGCUAACUCCGUG